rnacentral:lncRNA from 1 species
GUUUUAGAGCUCUUGAGAAUGAAAAUUGCGUGCUAAAAUCGGACGGAACUGAGAUAUAUAACUUGCUAAACGAGCAGUUCUUCUCUGGAUAUAGCAAGGAUCUUCCCGAUGAUAUUCCUGUUCUCCAACCACAAACCUAUACGAUUCACACUAUAAAUAAAGAAAAUUUCUCCCAAGCCGCUGUCGAAUUGCUUUUCUCCAUACUGGACCAAUACAAAUCACCAGAUAAAUUACAACGAAGCAAAUGUAAUAAUUUGUUCACCUGAAGCUAUUGUAACAACUUAUAGAUCGAUUGUCAAUAAAUCUGCCUUUAAUCAGAAACUUGUUGCAAUUGCAGUUGAUGAAAACCAUUGUGCAAAAAAGUGGAGAUGUUCAAGUACACAAUUAGAUGCAUUUCGGUUUCGUUAUAAUAGACUCUUGAAUUGCGAUCACUUGUUCCUAAAAGAAUUCCAGUAUCCGCAUUGACAGCAACUGCAACUAAAA